rnacentral:rRNA from 1 species
GUGCAGCAGGCGCGAAACUUCACACUGUGCGAAAGCACGAUGAGGGAAUCCCAAGUGCUUGCACGUAAGUGUAAGCUGUUUCUCUGUUUAAAACGCAGAGAGAGUAAGGGCUGGGUAAGACGGGUGCCAGCCGCCGCGGUAAUACCUGCAGCUCAAGUGGUGACCGUUAUUAUUGGGCCUAAAACGUCCGUAGCCGGUUUAAUAAAUGCCUGGGUAAAAUCGUGUAGCUUAACUAUACGAAUUCCGGGUAGACUGUUAAACUCGAGACCGGGAGAAGUUAGAGGUACUCCUGGGGUAGAGGUGAAAUUCUGUAAUCCUAGGGGGACCACCAGUGGCGAAGGCGUCUAACUAGAACGGGUCUGACGGUGAGGGACGAAGCCCUGGGGCGCAAAAC